AACGAACGCUGGCGGCGCGCCUAACACAUGCAAGUCGAACGAGAAUCCGGGGCAACCCGGUAGUAAAGUGGCAAACGGGUGAGGAAUACAUGGGUAACCUACCCUUGAGAAGGGAAUAACCCGCCGAAAGGUGAGCUAAUACCCUAUACGCUAUCUUUUUUUCGAAAAGGAUAGGAAAGCCGGGUCGAGGACCUGGUACUCAAGGAGGGGCUCAUGUCCUAUCAGCUUGUUGGUGGGGUAACGGCCUACCAAGGCUACGACGGGUAGCUGGUCUGAGAGGAUGAUCAGCCACACUGGCACUGAGAUACGGGCCAGACUCCUACGGGAGGCAGCAGUGAGGAAUAUUGCGCAAUGGGCAAAGCCUGACGCAGCGACGCCGCGUGGGGGAUGAAGGUUUUCGGAUUGUAAACCCUUUCAUGAGGAAAGAUAAAGUGGGUAACCACUUAGACGGUACCUCAAGAAGAAGCCACGGCUAACUUCGUG
rnacentral:rRNA from 1 species